UAGGGAAUUGUUCGCAAUGGGCGCAAGCCUGACGACGCAACGCCGCGUGGAGGAUGAAGACCUUCGGGUCGUAAACUCCUUUCGACCGAGAUGAACAUCCCGCGAUCUAAUACAUUGCGGGACUGACAGUAUCGAGGGAAGCAGCCCCGGCUAACUCCGUGCCAGCAGCCGCGGUAAUACGGGGGGGGCAAGCGUUGUUCGGAAUUACUGGGCGUAAAGGGUUCGUAGGUGGCCGGCUAAGUCAGACGUGAAAUCCCUCAGCUUAACUGGGGAACUGCGUCUGAGACUGGUCGGCUUGAGUGCAGGAGAGGAACGCGGAAUUCCAGGUGUAGCGGUGAAAUGCGUAGAUAUCUGGAGGAACACCGGUGGCGAAGGCGGCGUUCUGGACUGCAACUGACACUGAGGAACGAAAGCCAGGGGAGCAAACGGGAUUAGAUACCCCCGUAGUCC
rnacentral:rRNA from 1 species